CCGGUUGAUCCUGCCGGACCCCACUGCUAUCGAGGUGGGACUUAGCCAUGCUAGUCGAACGAACAGAACAAUGUCUGUAAGUGGCACACUGCUCAGUAACACGUAGCUAACCUACCCUUAGGACGUCGAUAACCCCGAGAAAUUGGGGCUAAUAGGCGAUAGGUGUGAUGUCCUGGAAUGGUAUCACGCCCAAAGGUAUCCCAUACAUGUUUGGUAUACGCCUAAGGAUGGGGCUGCGGCCGAUCAGGCAGUUGGUGAGGUAAUGGCUCACCAAACCUUUGACCGGUACGGGCCAUGAGAGUGGUAGCCCGGAGAUGGACACUGAGACAAGGGUCCAGGCCCUACGGGGCGCAGCAGGCGCGAAACCUCCUCAAUGCACUAACGUGCGAAGGGGUUACCUCGAGUGCUAUCUGAAGAAGGUGGCCUUUCCUAGGUCUAAAAAGCCUUGGGAAUAAGAGGGGGGCAAGACUGGUGUCAGCCGCCGCGGUAACACCAGCCCCUCGAGUGGUGGGGAUGAUUAUUUGGCCUAAAGCGUCCGUAGCCUGCCGUAUAAGUCUCCCGUUAAAUCCAGCGUCUCAAGCGUUGGACUGCGGGAGAUACUGUACGGCUAGAGAGUGGGAGAGGUCAGCGGUAUUCUGGGGGUAGGGGCGAAAUCCUUUGAUCCCCGGAGGACCACCAGUGGCGAAGGCUGCUGACUAGAACACGUCUGACGGUCAGGGACGAAAGCUGGGGUAGCGAACCGGAUUAGAUACCCGGGUAGUCCCAGCCGUAAACGAUGCAUGCUAGGUGUUGGGUUGGCCACGAGCCACCCCAGUGCCGCAGGGAAGCCGUUAAGCAUGCCGCCUGGGAAGUACGAUCGCAAGAUUGAAACUUAAAGGAAUUGGCGGGGGAGCACCACCAGGCGUGAAGCCUGCGGUUUAAUUGGAUUCAACGCCGGGAA
rnacentral:rRNA from 1 species